CAUGAGCCGGAAAAGGAAAGUCCGGUACAAGCGCAGCAGAGGACAGAUAGGAAAAACCGUCUGUCAACUCGAGGGCGUGAUGUGGAGCGAACCAAAGUAGCGAAGUAUGUGGAGCCUGUGUCGAGAAAAGCCGCUAUAGUGUUUGAUGUACCCGUACCGUAAACCGACACAGGUGGAUGAGGAGAGAGUCCUAAGGCCGGCGGGAGAAGCAUUGUUAAGGAACUCGGCAAAAUGACCCCGUAACUUCGGGAGAAGGGGUGCUCCAGAGAUGGAGCCGCAGAGAACUGGCCCAAGCAACUGUUUAGCAAAAACACAGGUCUAUGCAAAACCGAAAGGUGAGGUAUAUGGGCUGACGCCUGCCCGGUGCUGGAAGGUUAAGAGGAGAUGUUAGCCGCAAGGUGAAGCAUUGAAUUUAAGCCCCAGUAACGGCGGCCGUAACAAUAACGGUCCUAAGGUAGCGAAAUUCCUUGUCGGGUAAGUUCCGACCCGCACGAAAGGCGUAAUGAUUUGGGCACUGUCUCGACAAUGCACCCGGUGAAAUUGAAAUACCAGUGAAGAUGCUGGUUACCUGCGCCAGGACGGAAAGACCCCAUGGAGCUUUACUCUAGCUUGAUACUGGGGUUCGGUAUUGCAUGUACAGGAUAGGUGGGAGACUGAGAAGAUGUGUCGCCAGAUGCAUCAGAGUCGAUGUUGGGAUACCACCCCUGCAGUACUGGGCUUCUAACCUGCAGCCGUGACCCGGCUGGGGGACAAUGUCUGGUGGGGAGUUUGACUGGGGCGGUCGCCUCCGAAAGAGUAUCGGAGGCGCUCAAAGGUUCCCUCAGAAUGGUUGGAAACCAUUCGAAGAGCGCAAAGGCAGAAGGGAGCUUGACUGCGACACCGACGGGUGGAGCAGGUACGAAAGUAGGACUUAGUGAUCCGGUGGUAUGAAAGUGGGAUUGCCAUCGCUCAACGGAUAAAAGCUACCCUGGGAUAACAGGCUUAUCACUCCCAAGAGUUCACAUCGACGGAGUGGUUUGGCACCUCGAUGUCGGCUCAUCGCAUCCUGGGGCUGUAGUAGGUCCCAAGGGUUGGGCUGUUCGCCCAUUAAAGCGGUACGCGAGCUGGGUUCAGAACGUCGUGAGACAGUUCGGUCCCUAUCCGGCGUGGGCGUAGGAUAUCUGAGAGGAGCUGUCCUUAGUACGAGAGGACCGGGAUGGACUGACCUCUGGUGCACCGGUUGCAUUGCCAAAUGCAUAGCCGGGUAGCCAAGUCGGGACGGGAUAAACGCUGAAGGCAUCUAAGCGUGAAGCCCCCCUCAAGAUGAGAUAUCCCAUAACGUAAGUUAGUAAGACCCCUUGAAGACGACGAGGUAGAUAGGCAGAAGGUGGAAGUGUGGUGACAUAUGGAGCUGAUCUGUACUAAUAGGUCGAGGGCUUAUC
rnacentral:rRNA from 1 species